UUGUAAAUAUUGAGACUUGAACUCAAAUCUUAUGCACCUAAAAACAUAUAUUUUAACCAAUUAAAUUAUAUUUAC
rnacentral:tRNA from 1 species